UUAGGGUUGCAUUUCGUUUAGGGUUCCAGUGAAAUAAGAAAUAGGGUUUCCGCUCUCUCACGGCGAGGGGGGCCCAGGAUGCCGGUGCUCCUUCCAGCGCUUGUGAUUUGAAGCACCAAAUCAUCGCGAUGGCGUUGGCGAUGCAGUCAGACUCGUUCGAAGCUUUUUGGAUUCUCGAAUACAGAGUUCAAUUUUGCUGCUUGUCUGAGAGGUGGUGCACCAGCAGCGCCGCUGUGGAAGCGGGGCUGAGCGCUGCAAAAGCUGUAGCAGUAGCAGUAGUAGCAGCAGCAGGAGCAGCGUAGGAGUGGGAAAAUGAGCUGUUCUGUGCAUCUGUAUUGAUGAAGUAGGUGUGUGAGGAGAUUCAGGACGAACCCACAUCGUAUUUUUGCUUCCGCACCCACUUUCCUAGUCAGAUGCAAGCCACGAAGCGUGGUCGAUUACAAGGGAUAGAUAGCGUUCUAAGCAGAAGUUGGAUGAGUGGGUGACCAAGUAGAGGAUUAGGAACCAGGGAUUUGUUCUGCAGCCGAUCUUGAAGACGGAUCGAUUCGCAUUUGACAAGAAACUGAACUUUUCGGGGUCUUAUGAUGUGUAUUUUCUUUUUCUUUUUCUUUUUUUUUGGAGACGAUCGUGUUUUGACGGAGGUGCCCAUGCUGCUCGGAUAAAGCUUUUGUAAGAAGAAGAAGAAGAAGAAGAAGAAGUACUAUUCCUGAGAACCUUACGCGGACGCAGUGGACACGUCUGAUUACGGCUUCUUUGAAUUCGACCCUCGUGUAUGUGUGCGGAGCUCUUUCAGGGUUGUUAAAGUGGCCUAGGUAUCACGACCGCGUGAGGACGUUUUAAAGGAUGUGCAGAUACUCAUUGAAGGUGUGGCGCAGCAGAUUCUGAAGAAGUGACCUAACAUCUGAGUGAUUGUUUUUCUGAAGACCUUGGAACCCUUUCUCUCUCAGAUUAUCAAUCUCUUUCUGACGUGGCAUUGAAGAUUGAACUCUCACGGUUGUCGCAACCAGAGUCUAAGGAAAUUUCGAAAUAUUCGAAGAAGAAAAGGCUGAGUAACAUAAAGGUGAGAAGGCAAAAUUUGUUCAUGGAAGAAUGAGGGAAAGACGGAUUGGAUGUCGUUGAGGAAAUUUUAGUAGCUAAUGAUGAAAAGACGACAAUGCGGAGUUGUUGAGGACAAGCAGAAAGAACCUCGAAAAGCAUCACUUGCGACAAGAGCUCACCGUAUUACGUUCUUGUCGUGUCCAACAUUGCAAUUUUUGUCUCAUUGGAAUACUUCAGUUUCAUAAUUUCUGUCGCAGCAAUUUGGGUUGGUUCGUCUAAUUUUCUGCUCUCCGAAUUUCUACCGAGGGUUGAAAGACGUGGCUCGGCGAGAAUUAUACAGAAAAACGAUUUUGUUUCUCAUUCGCAAUUCGCAUCGGCACGGUAGAGAUGAAACCUCAAGUGUUGAAUGUUUUCUUAAGAAAUGUUGUGAUUGUCGAAGCCAACAGGGUUGCCUGGCCGAGCAUGCGAUAUACUGUGUCAUUGUUUGAGCAGAUGCAAGUGAUGCCAGACUUGCAAGAGGAUGCGCUGGAUUAUCCGGGAGUCAGUACAUUCACUGUCUCAAACUUGUGUAUUAUACAACUCUUUCACUAAAUCAUAUAUCAUGCCUGCAGCUAGCAAAUGUGGUUUUUAUUUUAUUUUAUUUUAUUUUUUAUUUUUUUAUGUUGCUCUUGAGGAUAUAUUUUUGGUAUGCUGUGCUUCAAAGAUUACUUAUGCUGACUUAGUUCAGUCGAGUAUCCUGGAUUCUGACUUUCAGAUUGCUCAACUUUUUCCAGUUCUACUUGAAAUCAAGUCUUACCUGGAAAAAUCUGCUGGCCUUCUGGGCUUUAAUUAUUAAUGAUUCUAUUAUUGCUGCUGCAGUUAAGAUUAGGAUUCGGUUGCUGAGAUCUUUGAAUAACAUACUCUGGAUAUUCCACUUCCAGUUUUGUAUAGGGGCUCUGUUCAUGUGAAAACGUUUGAUGAGUUCGUGUGUUGUCACGUCCAUUGAAAAGAACCCACGUUUUUUGCAAUCGGGCUUUGGGUAGUUCUCUACACUACGCAGAUUUUAGUUUAUUUAUUAGUGCUUAAAAGUCUCUGUUCGAAAGAUCUUACCUACGGCCAAUCAUACCCAAGAGUCUCGUCUCGUACAACCUUCACGCACUGGGUUUGUUCACUUUCAUACAAUUAAGAUAUGUUAGCUUCUUUUCAAUGCUCGUACUUGAGACUGAUCAACAUCUCUGUUCUGGAAAUUGUGUGUAUUAUGAUGCACAGCUUCAUCA